CAAAGAUUGGUUGAGCUACGUA
rnacentral:siRNA from 1 species